GACUUUAACAGUUAACCAACAUUACCAUUAAGGAAAUAGUUAACUUUAACGUGUUGCGCCGAUAUAAUGUAUAAUACAACAAAUUCGACAAUACGACAAAUUAAUUAGCCAAAACUUCCGCGCCAGCUUUGAAACAAACAGCCUUGAAAAAACCAAACAAUAAAGCAAAACAAAGAUGUUUUACCGACUUUCCAAAAUUCACAAUAUUAUUAAUCAGAAUGAAUUAUCAACCGAACUGAAUAAUUACAUUUUUGUUCCAUCAAGUAAACAAAUUCAUUAAUGAUGAGAUUUGUUGCUAAAUAAUUCAAUACUAUGAAAUAUAAAACUUAUUUUCUGUUGAAAAUUAUUUAUGAAAUUCACGUCAAGAACAAAAGUUUGACAAUAAAUAAAUAGUAUGCAUGCGUGUGUGCGUCAAAUACAUGGAAGUGUGUGUAA